AGCCUAAACCUUGAGUAUUUUGCUUGGGGCAUGGCUGAAAACCCCGUGAGAGAUACUGAACCCUACGUUCAGCAACUCUCACGGGUCAUGCCUCGAAAGGGGCGUGGGGCUGCAAAGCCU
rnacentral:sRNA from 1 species